AACGUAGGAGACGAAACGUUAUCCGGAGUUACUGGGCGUAAAGGGCGUGUAGGUGGUUUGUAAGUCUGGCGUGAAAUUUUCGGCUUAACCGGGAAGGUCGUCGGAUACUGCAAGGCUAGAGGACGGUAGAGGCGUGUGGAAUUCCGGGUGUAGUGGUGAAAUGCGUAGAGAUCCGGAGGAACACCAGUGGCGAAGGCGACACCGCUGGGCCGGUACCUGGACACCUGGAUG
rnacentral:rRNA from 1 species